rnacentral:rRNA from 1 species
UACGAAGGGGGCUAGCGUUGUUCGGAAUUACUGGGCGUAAAGCGCACGUAGGCGGAUAUUUAAGUCAGGGGUGAAAUCCCAGAGCUCAACUCUGGAACUGCCUUUGAUACUGGGUAUCUUGAGUAUGGAAGAGGUAAGUGGAAUUGCGAGUGUAGAGGUGAAAUUCGUAGAUAUUCGCAGGAACACCAGUGGCGAAGGCGCUUACUGGUCCAUAACUGACGCUGAUGCGCGAAAGCUAGGGGAGCAAACAGG